rnacentral:rRNA from 2 species
GGUCUCCGUAGGUGAACCUGCGGAGGGAUC